CUAUUAUGGACAGAGGUAUGUUUCAAAGCAAAUGUAAUCGUUUAGCAAAUUUUUUGUUGCUAUUUAACAAUCUUGUAUGGUGUGCUCUGUCUUUUAUGUUCUUUUGCCUAGAAACAAAAGAAGUGAUUUGGAGAGAGACGGGACAAUCCGUUACGAUCCGGUGCAGAAUUAAUACUGAUCAAGAUUUUCUGGUAUUGAAAAUGGGACAUAACGAGGAAACUGAGGUUGCCUUUAUCAACAGAGCCUCCAGAAAAAGACAUUUUCAUAAAAGAAUUGCAGGAAGAGUUCAAACAAAUGGAACAUUCCCAAGUGUGGAUAUUGUGAUUGAAAACUUGAAUGUAAGUGACUCAGGGCCGUACUGGUGUGUGUAUUCAAAACUAGAUGACAGUUACCGUCAACUGGUCACAAAGGGUUAUGGAUCUGUUCUUCUAAUGGUGACCGGAAAUAGUUGUGAAUCAACAACAACAACCAUUAUGGAAGUGCCAAAAUGUGAUGCAUCAAGUCUUACUUUGGUUGUGGUUUAUGUUCGCAUCACCGUCAUUGUUCUGAUUGGCCUCAUGCUCGGUUUUAGCACUUUGAUCAUGUACAAGAGCCACAACAAAUAACCAC